rnacentral:rRNA from 1 species
UACGGAGGGUGCAAGCGUUAUCCGGAUUCACUGGGUUUAAAGGGCGCGUAGGUGGGAAUGUAAGUCAGUGGUGAAAUCUCCGUGCUUAACAUGGAAACUGCCAUUGAUACUAUGUUUCUUGAAUCUUCCGGAGGUCAGCGGAAUAUGUCAUGUAGCGGUGAAAUGCUUAGAUAUGACAUAGAACACCAAUUGCGAAGGCAGCUGACUGCAGGGGCAUUGACACUGAGGCACGAAAGCGUGGGGAUCAAACAGG